UUCCCGCACAAAGAUGGGUCCAUAUAUUGGACCAUAACAGACCUGAAAACUGUCAAAAUCCAGCAAUCCUGGUAGCAGCCUGAAGAACACAUCUUUCCCUAUCCAUUGAUGUUGUGUUCCCGCACAAAGAUGGGUCCAUAUAUUGGACCAUAACAGACCUGAAAACUGUCUAAAUCCAGCAAUCGUGGUGGCAACUUGAAGAGCACAUCUUUCUCUAUCCAUUGAUGUUGUGUUCCCGCGCAAAGAGGGGUCCAUAUAUUG